AUAUGGAGGUCAUAACCAGUGAAACCACCAUCUCUAUGUAAACCACCGCAUCGACAUCUCUCUUCCUCCUACAUCUAUAGAAACCUUUACACCACAACCACUAAACCAUCAUUGUUGGUGUAUCUCUCUCUAAAACCAUCAUUAACCACCAUAUUCGAUUCAAUUUGUUAUUAGGGCUUCAGAAACCAUCCCCUACCAUCUUUGGAUCUAGAUCUGUGGUUUUGAAACAGAAAUCUUGAACUCGAAGAUGGUUGUAUAUGUCGUCACACCAGAUAAAUGGAAGUGGUUUCCAGUCAUGGGAAGCCCAUGAGACAUGUAUUUCUGGGUUAUUACAAGGUAGGCACUACGUUUUUUUUUUCUUUUUUUAUUUUAACUAUGCCUUUUUCCAGUUAGGUGUUUUU